ensembl:lncRNA
ACCCUCAUAAUGCGAUUAUAAUGGGAUUUUGGCAAUAUUGCUAUUAGGCUUUACCUUAUGUUAACACAAUACUUUGAUCAAAAUAAUUUGAUUAAGCUGCUUAAGCUGAUUAAUUGCAUUAAAAUAUGUGGCGUAUCCCAGUUCUGAUGGCAAUAAACAGGCAUGUCAACACUUUAAUCGCAUAAUUACAGCUCUGAAUGAAGUGCAUCAAAGGUUUCUAUUUAUAAUGUGUUUUGUGAGCAGUGUAGUCAAUCACAAACACAUCUGUUAAUUUCUUAAGCAUAGUGGCCAAUCAGAUAAUAAGAAAUUAAUUGAUGAUAAUGAUGAUAAAAAAUAACCACACUUCUUAUCUAAUAAUCAAAAUAAAAUAAAAAAAUUGCAUGUAAUCUGGAGUGUAGAGGUUUGCUCAUGUCAACAUGUAAACAUCUUACUGCAUUUAAGUCCUUUCUCUGAUUAUUGGAAAUCAUAGACAUAGAUAUCUAAACGCUGGGUAUAUAGUUGCUUAAAGUCUAGGCAGUGACAUUUGUCUGUCUUGUAACAACAUAAAACAUUGUCCAAUGCAUUGGCUGAAAGAAUCAUUUGUCGUUGUAGCACGGACAACACUAAAUUAAAAUAGUAAAUAAAGCUGUGUAUUCUUUUCUGUUUCUCCAACAAUCUGGCUUCAUUGUACUGAAGUAAAUGAUCUUUGGACAGUUUGAAAACGCCACAUUAUGACCAUACAUUUAUAUUCGUUCAAGUUUGGCAACCUUAUUGCCUUGUUUUGUAACCUAGUUUCUAGUUCUAGAUGGGUACAAAGAUUAAACUGUAAAAAGGGAUGCGUAAAAGAGAGAAGACAUCUGAAACUAAGGCUGUGAAGAUCAGCUGCUGUUGCAAUAGAAGACAAAUGACAUUGAAAUCAGAGAGACGAGCAAAGAAGAAAGUAUGAUGGUCGACUUGAGCAGAGCGGCUGUAAUGUUUAACAGGGGAAGUAAACAAGACCCAGGCGUCCCAUUGCCAAUGCAGAGCACGGGUUCCAGGUGGGGAUGCCAACACACACACACACACACUCCCCUCAGUGUUUUUCACAGCUGUGCUGAUUUACUUCAGACCACCAACACAUGCUGUUCCUCCACACA